UCUUGACUAGUAUAUUGGUUAGUACACGCGCUUGUCAUGACCAUGUUCAUUCUUUCUAUCGCGCGAAAGCUGGGUUCGACUCCCAGGUCGAGAG